rnacentral:tRNA from 1 species
CAUCGUAUAGUAUAAAAACAGUACAAAAGAUUGUAAAUCUUUAGGAGCAUAUGUAAAGCUGCGAUGU